ACAGUUAUUCCUCCAGCCUGAACAUACAUACAAACUUAAUUUAUAAGCACCACCAAAACUAAUCAUAAAACAUUCUUAAUCUUCAGUAUAUGUGAUAAAAAAAGAACCCAGAGCUAUAAUAACAGUACCGUAAGGGAAAGAUGAAAUAAAAAUGAAACAUUUUCAAACUUUAAAAAGCAGAGCUUACAUCUUGUACCUUUUGCAUCAUGGCCUAACAAGUCUAAUUCAGGCAAAAAGAAUUCUAGUCUGACUCCCCGAAACUAAGUGAGCUACUCCAAGGCAACCCUUAGAGUUAACCCGUCUCUGUGGCAAAAGAGUGGGAAGACCUUCGAGUAGAGGCGAUAAACCUACCGAACUUAGUGAUAGCUGGUUGCUCAGGAAAAGAAUAUUAGUUCUUCCUUAAGAAUAGAUCGACACUUUUAAGUAAACCAAAUUCUUAAGAGCUAUUCAAUAAGGGUACAGCCUUAUUGAAAAAGGAUACAACCUAUACUUCAGGUUAAUGAUUAUACUUAUAAAAGGUGCAAGGUAAAGUUGGCCUAAAAGCAGCCACCUAAUUAAAAGCGUCAAAGCUUUACCUUUCUUUCACCCCUUAUCCGAUUACAACCACAAAACCCGAUACCACUACUGAGCUGCUCUAUAUUUAUAUAGAAGCAUUUAUGUUAGGACUAGUAACAUAGAAUUAAUUCUAUUACAUGUAAGUAUACAUCAGAUUGAAUACUUCACUGAUUUUUACGCAGUCUUGAACCUAAAGUAAUACCUCACCCCGAAAACCUUACUUACUCAACUGUUAACCUGACACAAGAACAUGAAAAAAAGAUUAAAAGAAUGGGAAGGAACUCGGCAAAUAUAGGUCCCGCCUGUUUACCAAAAACAUCGCCUUUUGAACACUAUAAAAGGUAACGCCUGCCCAGUGACAAUUUGUUUAACGGCCGCGGUAUUCUGACCGUGCGAAGGUAGCGUAAUCACUUGUCUUUUAAAUAGAGACUAGUAUGAAUGGCAUCACGAGGACUUAACUGUCUCCCCCCUCCAAUCAGUGAAACUGAUCUUCACGUACAAAAGCGUGAAUAAACUCAUAAGACGAGAAGACCCUAUGGAGCUUAAAACCAAAAACCACCUAUUUAACCUACUAUUCUAAUGUAUUACUAAAAUAAUAGGCCUAGUUUAGGUUUUCAGUUGGGGUGACUGUGGAGAAAAAUUAAUCCUCCAUGUAGACUUAAGCUUUGAGCAACCGCUCUAUGCAUUAGCAAGCCUAACUUUACUUGAUCCAAUAUUUUUGAUCAACGGAACAAGUUACCCUAGGGAUAACAGCGCAAUCCAUUUCAAGAGUUCAUAUCGACAAAUGGGUUUACGACCUCGAUGUUGGAUUAGGACAUCCAAGUGGUGCAGCCGCUACUAAGGGCUCGUUUGUUCAACGAUUAAAGUCCUACGUGAUCUGAGUUCAGACCGGAGCAAUCCAGGUCAGUUUCUAUCUAUGAUAUAACUUUUUCUAGUACGAAAGGACCGAAAAAGUAGAGCCUCUAUAACCUACAAGCUCUAGCUUAACAUUAUUGAAUUUAUCUCAAACAAGGAUAAGCUUAACAUUAAACCUAAGAUAAAGGC
rnacentral:rRNA from 1 species